rnacentral:tRNA from 2 species
CCCCAUCGUCUAGAGGCCUAGGACAUCACCCUUUCACGGUGAGUACCGGGGUUCGAAUCCCCGUGGGG